UACGAGGGAUGCAAGCGUUAUCCGGAAUUAUUGGGCGUAAAGCGUUUGUAGGCGGGCGAGUGUGUUUAAUGUUAAAUCUUAAAGCUCAACUUUGAAAUUGCGUUAAAAACUGCUUGUCUUGAGUAUGGUAGGGGUAAAGGGAAUUCCCAGUGUAGCGGUGAAAUGCGUAGAUAUUGGGAAGAACACUAAACAGCGAAGGCACUUUACUAGGCUAAUACUGACGCUGAGAAACGAAAGGUAAGGUAGCGAAACGGAUUAGAUACCCGUGUAGUCUUACCCGUAAACUAUGGACACUAAACGGUAAAUUUUUAAUUUACUGUUAAAGCUAACGCGUUAAGUGUCCCGCCUGGGGAGUAUGCUUGCAAAAGUGAAACUCAAAGGAAUUGACGGGGGCCCGCACAAGCGGUGGAGCAUGUGGUUUAAUUCGACGGUACACGAAGAACCUUACCAGGAUUUGACAUGCUAGAUAGUUGCUUGAAAGAGUAACGUGCCGUAAGGAAUCUAGACACAGGUGGUGCAUGGCUGUCGUCAGUUCGUGUUGUGAAAUGUUGGGUUAAGUCCCGCAACGAACGCAACCCUUGUCUUUAGUUAUUUUCUAAAGAGACUGCCUGUAAUAAACAGGAGGAAGGUAAGGAUGAGGUCAAGUCAUCAUGCCCCUUAUGUCCUGGGCUACACACGUGCUACAAUGGGAAAGACAAUGAGCUGCAAAUCUGUAAAUUUAAGCAAAUCUCUUAAACUUUCUCGUAGUUCGGAUUGUGGGCUGCAACUCGCCCACAUGAAGUUGGAAUCGGUAGUAAUCGCCAGUCAGCUAUAUGGCGGUGAAUCCGUUCCCGGGCCU
rnacentral:rRNA from 1 species